UACGUAGGGGCAAGCGUUGUCCGGAUUUAUUGGGCGUAAAGAGCGUGUAGGCGGCCUGACAGGUCUGCUGUGAAAACUCGAGGCUCAACCUCGAGAUGUCGGCGGAAACCGUCUGGCUAGAGUCCGGAAGAGGAGAGUGGAAUUCCUGGUGUAGCGGUGAAAUGCGCAGAUAUCAGGAAGAACACCUAUGGCGAAGGCAGCUCUCUGGGACGGUACUGACGCUGAGACGCGAAAGCGUGGGGAGCGAACAGG
rnacentral:rRNA from 1 species